AACGAACGCUGGCGGCGCGCCUAAAUACAUGCAAAGUCGAGCGAGAAGACGUAGCAAUACGUUUGUAAAAGCGGCGAAACGGGUGAGGAAUACAUGGGUAACCUACCCUCGAGUGGGGAAUAACUAGCCGAAAGGUUAGCUAAUACCGCGUACGCUCCUUGGACUUCGGUUCAGGGAGGAAAGCGAUACCGUGGGUAUCGCGCUCUUGGAUGGGCUCAUGUCCUAUCAGCUUGUUGGUGAGGAACGGCUCCACCAAGGCUUCGACGGGUAGCUGGUCUGAGAGGACAAU
rnacentral:rRNA from 1 species